rnacentral:rRNA from 1 species
AUACAUGCAGUCGAGCGAAUCUUUAGGAGCUUGCUCCUAUUGGUUAGCGGCGGACGGGUGAGUAACACGUGGGCAACCUACCUAUAAGACAGGGAUAACUUCGGGAAACCGUAGCUAAUACCGGAUAAUCCAUUUCCUCUCAUGGGGAAAUGCUGAAAGACGGUUUACGCUGUCACUUAUAGAUGGGCCCGCGGCGCAUUAGCUAGUUUGGUGAGGGUAACGGCUCACCAAGGGCAACGAUGCGUAGCCGACCUGAGAGGGUGAUCGGCCACACUGGGGACUGAGACACGGCCCAGACUCCUACGGGAGGCAGCAGUAGGGAAUCUUCCACAAUGGACGAAAGUCUGAUGGAGCAACGCCGCGUGAGCGAUGAAGGCCUUCGGGUCGUAAAGCUCUGUUGUUAGGGAAGAACAAGUACCGGAGUAACUGCCGGUACCAUGACGGUACCUAACCAGAAAGCCACGGCUAACUACGUGCCAGCAGCCGCGGUAAUACGUAGGUGGCAAGCGUUGUCCGGAAUUAUUGGGCGUAAAGCGCGCGCAGGCGGUCCUUUAAGUCUGAUGUGAAAGCCCACGGCUCAACCGUGGAGGGUCAUUGGAAACUGGGGGACUUGAGUGCAGAAGAGGAAAGCGGAAUUCCACGUGUAGCGGUGAAAUGCGUAGAGAAUGUGGAGGAACACCAGUGGCGAAGGCGGGCUUUUCUGGUCUGUAACUGACGCUGAGGCGCGAAAGCGUGGGGAGCAAACAGGAUUAGAUACCCCUGGUAGUCCACGCUGUAAACGAUGAGUGCUAGGGGUUUUUAGGGGGUUUCCGCCCCUUAGUGCUGCGGCUACGCAUUAGCACUCGCCUGGGGGGAGUACGGCCGCA